UGCGCAGUGUGGACAGGGAUGAGAGGACUUGGGAGACACCCACUGGCAACGAGACAGUGUUAAAAAUACCACAACAGAGGCAAGUGUUUGACAGCCUUAUGUGUGGAUAAUCUUUGUGAUGUGUUAAUAAGGGUUAUAAAAACUAACUAUGAAUAUAUGAAUAUACAUAUACGUCUUAAAAAGGCUGGCUCUGUGGUUGGACUCAAGCUGGACUCAGUGGAGGAUGUGGUGGAGAGAUCUACACUGAAGAAGGUGGAGACUAUUCUAAAGAACAUGGAUCACCCACUUCACAACACCUUGAUGGACCAAAGGGCCCAUAGUGGUGGACGGCUCCUCUCUCUUUGCAACAGGACAGAAAGAUUCAGAAGAUCUUUUGUACCAACAGCC